rnacentral:lncRNA from 1 species
CUUCUCUCCUCCUCUUCUUUCUCUUUCCCCCUCUCUUCUUCUUCUCUCCCCGUCUCUCACUCCUCCCCCUCGCCCCGGCCCGCCCCCAGCGCCGCGCCGCUCCACGCCACGCUGGCGGCUCCAGGUGCGAAUGCACCUGCUCUCCUCUGCACCUGCGCCUCGUCUGCGCGCGGCCGGUGGCCGGCAGCCCUGCGCCGGGAGCGCCAGGGAGCUGCUUUCCGGCUGCCGCCGCGCGAACGUGUCAUUCAUUCAUUCCACAAACUUUCAGCAGACCUGGCAGAGAUUUCCCGAAACACUUGCGGCAAGUAUCGGAGGCUGUCUUGUCCUAAACCGCAUAGACAGGGAGCGUUUGGCAAAGCCGGAACUAGAAGCGAUUUCUUGCCUCCGAUUUCCUUUAUAUAUAGAUAGAUUAUAUAUGUAAAUGCAAUCCAAAGACAGAUCACUUCAAGCAGGUCCGGUUUUAAGAGGUCUCUCCUAAGACUGUGGCCUCAGGUCUCCAAUCUCUCUUCUCUCCUUGAUUUUUAUCUGUACUCUGUAGACACAGAAGAGGAGAGAGAAAGAGAUUUAGUUUUUAAAACAAAAAUUGGACUCCUACCAUAUGGACUGUUUCAUAUUCUACUGUUUUAUUUUUUUCAUAACAUGUUAUUGAACAAAUAUUAAUUGAGCAUCUAGUCUGUGCCAAGAACUGUGCUGGCUACUGGGCAUAGAACAGUGAAAAAGGAGACAUGGUCCCUCUCAAGUGAGAAGUCCUAAAAGCUGUGAUGCCCCAGAAGCAAUGAGCGCACCUAAAACUCCGAUCUUGUUUCUACUUACCACGAAAAGAACCAAAGCCUUUUGAAGAAAUGGCAGAUACCAGGGCUGACAUGGGGAAAGUGCCAGAAAAGCCCAGAAAGUCUUG